AGUGGCGAACGGGAGAGUAACGCGUGGGAAACCUGCCCUUCAGCGGGGGACAACAGUUCUAACGAGCUGCUAAUACCGCAUACGAUCUAACUACCGCAUGGUGGUUUGAUGAAAGAUGGCCUCUACAUGUAAGCUGUCACUGAAGGAUGGUCCCGCGUCCCAUUAGCUUGUUGGUGGGGUAAAGGCCUACCAAGGCGACGAUGGGUAGCCGGCCUGAGAGGGUGUCCGGCCUCACUGGGACUGAGAUACGGCCCAGACUCCUACGGGAGGCAGCAGUCGAGAAGCUUCGGCAAUGGACGAAAGUCUGACCGAGCGACGCCGCGUGAGCGAUGAAGGCCUUCGGGUCGUAAAGCUCUGUCAGGAGGGAAUAAAUACCUAUGGUUAAUACCCAUGGGGGCUGAAGGUACCUCCAGAGGAAGCGCCGGCUAACUACGUGCCAGCAGCCGCGGUAAUACGUAGGGCGCAAACGUUGUUCGGAUUCACUGGGUAUAAAGGGUUCGUAGGCGGGCUAUUAAGUCAGAGGUGAAAGCCACCGGCUCAACCGGUGAAUUGCCUCUGAUACUGUUAGUCUUGAGUCCGUUAGGGGGUGGUGGAAUUCCUGGUGUAGCGGUGAAAUGCGUAAAUAUCAGGAGGAACACCAGUGGCGAAGGCGACCACCUGGGACGGUACUGACGCUGAGGAACGAAAGCAUGGGUAUCAAACGGGAUUAGAUACCCCGGUAGUCCAUGCUGUAAACGAUGGGCACUAGGUGUCGGAGGAGUCUUCCCCUUCGGUGCCGCAGCUAACGCAUUAAGUGCCCCACCUGGGAAGUACGAUCGCAAG
rnacentral:rRNA from 1 species